AGCCUGCUCAGUCGGGCGUUCACCCGUUCGGCCUCCAUUUGGGAAUCAAUUUGAAGGCCUGGAGCAUCAGAGUCAAUACCGACAACAGUUCCAAAGAAGACAGUCAAUCGAAGGAAAGAAAUUCAGUUACCCGCCAGUUUCUCGCACAUCGUCAACAACUCUUUCAUCAGAAACUCUUCGCAAUCAGUGGCGGCGUUGACUUUGGUUCGCUGCACGGCCACCUCCCCAGUUAUCACCUGAAGUUUCUGCUCGAGACCCUUUAGCUAGUCUCUCAAUAUCGUCGGGUCCAGAAGAGAAGCGGGGGAGGGCCCUGGAGUCACCAUGGUAGCGGGCACUGGCUGCAACUACGCAGGAACGGCUUGGGCAACUGGUGUUUCACGCAUUUCAUCAUCAUCGCUCUACAGCGCCAAACAAGACAAAAAUGAAAAUACAUCCUCAAAAAAAAAGACCAGGAGGGGUUCAUGUUGCAUCAAAAGAAGAUAUUACGGGCACCAUAGUACGGAGUCAUCUUAAAUGAAAUCCUGGCGAAGUUAACACUACCAACUAUUACAGUAAAACAAAAAACAAACUUCACGAUGAAGGACCAGCUCCCACCUCAUCCGUAGCCUCCUGCGCGGAUCGGACAGUCGCCGCGUUCAGCUGCUCGAUCACGGUGGUGAACUUCUUCGCCAAUUUGCGUCCUCGCUUAACAAAGCGCUUUAACUCGACGACUUGUCCAUCAGGAGUCAUGGUGGCGCCAUCAGCAACCUUCUACAGCAGCGCUUGGUCGAGUCCAUGCGCGAGCAAAAGGAUGAAUGCAGCCUCAGCACCUGCCUGGGUCUGCGCCCGAGUGAAGUCUUCAAGUGGGUCUUCACCAUCGAAGAAGCUCAGCAACCCGUCGAGUGAGCUUGGUGCCUCGACGUCUAGAUACAUGCUUGUAAAUAAUGGCCUCAGCAAGGAAGUCACCUUCCCGAGCAUGUCACCCGUGUGAUUGCAAAACUCCUCGACGGAGCCCACCACACCACUCAAUUCAGUGACUUGGUGUUUGCCACGAAGAGAGGACAGUGAGCCGAGGGAAUCUGCGCAAAAAUCAUAUCAGUCAAAGAAAUCAAAGGGGC
rnacentral:lncRNA from 1 species